CAGCUGGUCCUGUGUUACAAUGAGUUAUCACAUUAUCUGAAGAGUUCUCGAGAUAAUAUGAUAACGCACGCGCAUUUUGGACCAGCUGUUAGCUUAAAGUCUGAAUUAAAGACACCGAGUGUGUGCUCAUUACAUGAUGUCAUGUCGGUCAAUCGAUUAAACGGAACGACACUGCAAUUUGAUGGUUUUAAUUGACAUUUGGUAACAAUGGCGCACUGUCUAGAGGCGAAGAUAAUUUUAUGAUUAGGCGACGUUAUGCCUCUAUUCAUCUUCCCACAUGGCCUCAGACUCAGCACGGAAGCCUACAUCAAAUGCCUGCAGGUGGUUGGACUGCCCUGGGUCAAGAGGGUGGCUGCUGGAAGAACCUAUGUUUAACAACAGUACUCUGCAUCGUGCCACACAAGCAGGGGAACCCAGUCAUGGCUGUCAGACAAUUUCUGCGACAACAUCACACCUAACAUCUAACCACGUAACUCCCCAGACUUACAACUCUCUUGAUUAUUAUGUGUGGGGUGCCGUUGAGCGAGAGACUAAUAAAACUCCUUUGUAACACCAAGGAUUAUGGCGGCAUUCAGGAACUUAAACAAAAAGACUCUCCAGGAGAAUUGCAGGAAAUUUCGAAGUUGUCUGGAGGCCGUAGUUGAAGCCAAUGGCGAUUUUAUUGAAUAAAUUUACUAUGUAGUAUUUCAAGACAUUUUUAUGUAAUUUUGGUAAAUAUAUCUGUUAAAAUGAGAUGUCCAUGUUAUUCUCAUUUUUGUAUAAUUUAGACGACAGUUCAUUCAC